rnacentral:lncRNA from 1 species
CCAAAUGGGCAAAAUUUAAAAGAUUUUUUUAAACAAAGGUCAUACUAAAAUGCAAGAAUUUUCACUGCUGAAAGGCAACAUUUUCACUGUUGCCAGUUAUCCUCAUGGUGCAGUCCUGAGUACCUGGAAUCCCAGCUAUACAAGAGGCUGAAGCAGGAGUAUCACGAGUCCAGACUAGAGACAGCAGAGCCAGACCUCAUCUCAAGAGCUAUAAAAGAAAACAACAAGAGGAAAACCAGCAAAAAACAGCCAAGCUCCACUGCCUUCAAAAUAAUAAGUCAGAAGUUACUUGUGUUUUGAUAGUAACCAUGAAGAAGAGUAUAAACAAAGAUAUUCAUUAUGAAGUAGAUUACUGUUGAAGAGAUUUUGUCAGUGUGAUGUGUUGGGUGAGUUCCUGUUGAACGAGAGUGGAAAGACAAUGUGCUUACUGGCUUGGACCCUUAUUCCAGUGGAUAUGAUUCCUCCAUGUUUGUUCCCUUCUGCCACUGACCACUAGACAUGACAGGAUGGUUUACACUAUAAGGACAAGGACAGUUUUCUAGAUGACAGCAGGAUCCUCAAUGAAGCCUGGGUCUCAGG